rnacentral:lncRNA from 1 species
GCUAUUUCUUUGGGCCCCUCCCGUGGCAUAUGGAGGUUCCCAGGCUAGGGGUAGAAUCGGAGCUGCAGCCACUGGCCUACGCCAGAGCCACAGCUACGCGGGAUCUGAGCUGUGUCUGCAACCUACACCACAGCUCAUGGCAACGCUGGAUCGUUAACCCACUGAGCAAGGGCAGGGACUGAACCCGCAACCUCAUGGUUCCCAGUCGGAUUCGGGAACCACGACAGGAACUCCGAAAAUGCCACAGUAGUGACAAUACCAGAUCCUUAACCCAUUUAGCCUCCAGGGAAUUCCUAAAAACCAAAAAGCUAUAUAGGAAUGAAAUUUCUAAUAAAGUUAAGAUUUUAAAUGAGGCUACAUCACAUUAGAUGCAGCUAAAGGAAAACAUACUGAAAUGAAAGAUAAUUCUAAGAAAUUCACCCGGAAUAAAAAGAGAAAGAUUGAAAAUAUAAAAAAGAGAUUGAGAUAUGAAGGACAGAAUCUAACAUAUGUCUAAAAAGUAUUUGAGAUAUGAAGGACAGAAUCUAACAUAUGUCUAAAAAGUAUUUGAGAAUUAGAAAAAUAAGUCAAAAGGGCAAUAUCUGAAGCAAUAAUGGAUAUUUUCCAAAGUUGAAAAAGACAUGAAACAUCAGAUUUAUAAAAAAUAAAAAUAAAUCCAAAUCUAGACAUUAUAAUGAAAUCUAGAACACUGAAUCACUCAUGAUCCAAUCAGGAAAUAUAAAAGAAUGUUUAAAAUGAGGCAAUAUUGUUAAAAAUGAGGCAAUAUAAAGUGUGCAGAAAAGGCAGAUAAGUGAACCAAGAUAUGAUGACACAAAUAAGAAAUUAGCAAUGCAAAAGACAGAGGGUUAAAAUGGAAGAGUCCUGAUGAACCAGUUCAUCAGGGGUUAGAUCUACUAAAGAGAUGUAGUAGUGUUUGGAAAUGUCACCCAAGACUCACAAAGGACAAAUAUUUUUAUUUUUCCUUUCCUAUUGUCCUCCAGUCAAAUAGCAAUAAUUCCCAUUGUAUGGGCCCAGGCAGAAAGAAAGAAAGAAAGAAAGAAAGGAAGGAAGGAAGGAAGGAAGGAAGGAAGAAAGAAAGAAAGAAAGAAAGAGAGAAAACUGAUUUGGCAGCCUAGGAAAGUCAGCCUAAAUGGUCAGCCUUCUUCAAAAACAAGAAUAGAAAAGAAUGAAUUUUAGAGCCAAGCAAUCCACAACAUGCAUGAAUACUAAAGACAAAGAGGAAAGACAUUAUCUUUAGAGGAAACAGCUAAAUAGUUAGUUGAUGUCUCAAUAGAAACCAUAGAGUCUAGAAAAUAAUGGGAUACUAUCUUAAAAGUAUUGAGGGAAAAUAUAUAAAUAUUGUAGUUUAUAUAGUCAAAUAAAUUGUCAUUAAAAAGUGAGAGUAUCAAAAUCAAAACUACAGUGAGGUAUCACUCACACUGGUCAUCAAAAAACCUACAAAUGAUAAAUGCUGGAGAGGGUGUGGAGACAAGGAAAUCCUCUUAGACUAUUAGUGGUAAUGUAGAUUGGUACAGCCACUAUGAGGAACAAUAUGAAGAUUCCUUAAUAAAUUAUAAAUAUAAUUACUAAAUGAUCCAGCAAUCUCACUUCUGGAUAUAUAACUAGAAUCUAUGAAAACUCUAAUUUAAAAAAUUGCAUGCAUGUCAUUGUUCAUAGCAGCAUGGUUUACAAUAGCAAAGAAAAGGAAGUAACCAAAAUAUAUACAUACACAUAUGUGUCUUUAUAUAUAUAUGUAAAUAAAAUAUUCCAUUUGUGUGUGUGUGUAUAUAUAUAUUCCUUUUUAUGGCUGAAUUUUAAUCAACAAUAAAAAAUAAAAUAAUGCCAUUUGCAGCAACAUGGAUAGAUUUAAGAGAUUAUCAUGCUUAGUGAUGUAAGCCAGACAAAGACAAAUAUCAUAUGCUGUCACUUAUAUAUGUGAAAUUUUAAAGAAUGAUACAAAAGAACUUAUUAUAGAACAGAAAUAGACUCAUAGAAAAAGAAAAAAAAAUUAUGGUUUACCAAAUGUAAAAGGGGUGUGAAGGGAUAAAUUAAGAGUUUUGGGGAUUCCCAUCAUGGUUCAGUGGGAACAAAUAUGACUAGUAUUCAUGAGGACACAGGUUUGAUCCCUGGCCUUGCUCAGUGGGUUAAGGAUCCAGCACUGCUGUUAGCUGUGGUGUAGGUCACAGUCGUGGUUUGGAUCUGGCAUUGCUGUGGCCGUGUUACAGGCUGGCAGCUACAGCUCCAAUUUGACCCCUGGGCUGGGAACCCCCACAUGCCGUGGGUGCAGCCCUAAAAAGAUAAAAAAAAACCCAGUUUUGGAUUAGCAUACACAGACUGUGGUUUAUAAAAUAGACAACAGAGACUUACUGUAUAGCACAGGGAACUAUAUUCAAUAUCUGGUGAUAAAUUAUAAUGGAAAAUAAUCUGAAAAAUAAUAUAUGUGUAUACUUAUACACAUAUAUAUGUAUGUUUCACUGGUUCACAACUUUGCUGUGCACCUGAAGCUAACACAACAUUGUAAAUCAACUAUAUAUCAACUUCUAAAAUGUAAAAAUAAAGUACAUUCAAAUGAAGAUCAAAAAUUUACUUAUCAUAAAAAUAAAUUAAUUAAGAAGAUUGGCAUUGGUGUACUGGUAAUCAACAAAUGAUUCUUCUAAAAAAGAAAAUAUAUCAGAUUUGCAGUGAUUUCUAUUGUAUAAAUAUUCCCACCAUCACCAACUUUCAACUACAAACAUAAUGUCACUAAAUGAGGAGUUGGAAAUUAUAUACAUAAUAUAUUUA